rnacentral:misc_RNA from 1 species
CAGCGAGCGUUCGAGAUUUACACCAAGAUGACUGAAAAGGGUUACGGUGGUAAAGACUUCUCCGUCAUCUUUAAGAUCCUUGAGGAAAUGUCGGGCCCCGAGGUGGAGAAAAAGAAGAAGGAAUUCUUUGAUCAAUGAGUGUAACAUUCCCUGCAUUAUAUUCAUUUGAUAGGAGUAUGUCUCUGUUUUAGGUUAUAAGUCAUUGAUGGAAUUUAUUUCCUAAUCAGUCAUCGAUCUUUACAGUAAACUCUUAUAGAAUGUGUCAGCUUUUGUUUUGGAAAUGUUUGUGAGAUGAUAGGUCACUGCAAUGUUUCGUGUUUUUUUGUUUUUGCACAAUUGUUUUUCAUGCGGUGAAGCAAAACUAACAGUUAUUUCCUUUUAAGGAAUUAUUUUAGAAGGACAUUUGAGAGUCUUUUGUGAAAUUUUUAUUCAUCUAGACAUGUACAUUAGAUUAUUAGACUAUACUUUGGGUUAAAGUAACCACCUUUUCUAUAUCACUUGUGUGGUGCAUUAUAAAUGCCAUUACCGGUAUAUUAAAUUGUGAUAAAGUCAUUUAAUGAAUCAUUUUGAUACUUCUUUAUGCUUUGAUAGAUGUAUAUUUUGUAUCGAAAAAAGAUUGUGUGAUAUCUACACAUGCAUACACCAAGAUAAUACACAAACACUCAUAAAUGGCACAUGUUGAUCACUGUGGCACUGUAUUGUGUAUUAAGGACAAUCUGUUUACUGCAUUAUAUGAAUUAAGAUCAGUACUGAAAUCCCAACAAAUACUCAUUAGAUGAUAAAUGCCAGAUCAAAAUGGUAGAUCAACUCAGUAAUGCAUAAUUAUAUUAAAAUCUUAGAAUCUUUUAUUUUCAUUCUGUUUACCCAAUAUUUGGACAAAUGAAGACAGCCAUGUUUUUAGUGUAAAUCUAUUUUAAAGAGACAGUUUCUAGCACAAAAUGUUAUUAUUAAUGCCCAGUUUCAGGUCUUUCAUUAAUAACAUGUAUAAUUAUAUGUACAUGUAUGUGUUUGGAUCAGUAAAUGGAUUUGU